UAAAAGUCCUUGAUGGGGAGCAGUAGGCAAAACCGCUCAUCAGAGAGCUGCCGGAUGGUGUAAGGCAGCGUGCGUAAUUGCUGAAUCUCGCCCCGGAGACGUCCGGUGGAAAGGCAUCCGUACACCGGGCCGGGUUUGCCCGUUACAGCUUUUAAGGGGAUAAGUGUUUUCAUACUUAUCAACCGGGGUGGUACCGCGGGAGUAACCUCUCGUCCCUACG
rnacentral:ncRNA from 1 species